rnacentral:rRNA from 1 species
GCCUAUGGCCAUACCAGUCUGAAAGUGCCUGAUCUCGUCAGAUUUCAGAAGUCAUGCAGACUUGGGCCUGUUUAGUACUUGUAUGGGAGACCAACUAGGAACCUCAGGUGCCGUAAGCU